GCCGGGCAUGGUGGCCCAUGCCUGUAAUCCCAGCUACUGUGGAGGCUGAGGCAGGAGAAUUGCUUGAAUCCAGGAGGUUGAGCCUGCAGUGAGCUGAGAUCGCCCCACUGCACUCCAGCCUGGGUGACAGAGCGUGACUCUGUCUCAA
rnacentral:SRP_RNA from 1 species